rnacentral:rRNA from 1 species
UACGAAGGACCCAAGCGUUAUCCGGAUUUAUUGGGUUUAAAGGGUGCGUAGGCGGAUUAUUAAGUCAGUGGUGAAAGCCUGCAGCUUAACUGCAGAAUUGCCAUUGAUACUGAUGAUCUUGAGUAUGAUUGAGGUGGGCGAAAUGUGUCAUGUAGCGGUGAAAUGCUUAGAUAUGACACAGAACACCGAUUGCGAAGGCAGCUCACUAAGCCAUAACUGACGCUGAUGCACGAAAGCGUGGGGAGCAAACAGG